UGGUUAAACUUCGUGUAAUCCAGGUCCCU
rnacentral:piRNA from 1 species